UCCAGCAGUAGUCAGCUGUCCGGACAAUCGUUCCUGUGAUAGUGUUACACUGCUGGAAGAGAAAUGUCUUGUCUUCUUUCUCCAGUUGCCUCUGUCACUGUUCUGGUGACUGCUGGUACUGGUGCAAGACAAAACAGUGCUUCCUUGAGAGUGUGCUAAGCAUUCAUUUUGGCUGCUUAGUUCUAGACUGGGAGCAAACACU